rnacentral:rRNA from 1 species
CAAGGAAUUUUCGGCAAUGGGCGCAAGCCUGACCGAGCAACGCCGCGUGCGGGAUGACGACCUUCGGGUUGUAAACCGCUUUUGGGGGGGAAGACUUCGACGGUACCCCCCGAAUAAGCCCCGGCUAACUCUGUGCCAGCAGCCGCGGUAAGACAGAGGGGGCCAGCGUUGUCCGGACUUACUGGGCGUAAAGCGUCCGCAGGUGGCACAGCAAGUGGCUGCUGAAAGUGCACGGCUUAACCGUGCGAGGCGUGGCCAAACUGCUGAGCUCGAGGCCGACAGAGGUCGCUGGAAUUGCCGGUGUAGUGGUGAAAUGCGUAGAGAUCGGCAGGAACACCAAGGGGGAAGCCAGGCGACUGGGUCGGUGCUGACACUCAGGGACGACAGCGUGGGGAGCCAACC